UACGAAGGGGGCUAGCGUUGCUCGGAAUCACUGGGCGUAAAGCGCACGUAGGCGGCUUCUCAAGUCAGGGGUGAAAUCCUGGAGCUCAACUCCAGAACUGCCUUUGAUACUGAGGGGCUCGAGUCCGGGAGAGGUGAGUGGAACUGCGAGUGUAGAGGUGAAAUUCGUAGAUAUUCGCAAGAACACCAGUGGCGAAGGCGGCUCACUGGCCCGGUACUGACGCUGAGGUGCGAAAGCGUGGGGAGCAAACAGG
rnacentral:rRNA from 1 species